CUUUCAUUCACCUGAAACCGAAUACGAGAAGAAAAAAAAUAAAAGCAGAGGCAGAGAUGAAAGCAGCAGAGAUGAUCGGGUUGAAGAGAGGAACAACAAAACCCUAACUCCAAUUACUUAUCAAACCCUAACUGCAAUCUCCAAUUCAAACUAAACCCAUGUCUUACAGCCACAUGAACUCUUAGGUUCAGUCUUAAUUUUCUCUAAUUCCACUCAAUACUCUUAGAUUCAUUCUUAAUCUUCUCUAAUUCCAUUCAAUAAUCCAUGGCAGUGACAUCUUCUUCAUCUUUGCUCAAAUCCAUCUAAACCCAUCUACGAUUCAUUAGUAAAUACUGUGAGAUCUCAAGAAGCUCGAUCAGAAACCAAAUUUAAAAUCAGAAAGACGAUGCUGAAGAAGAGAAGAAGAAGCUAAAGAGGAAGACAGUAGUCUGGAUAAAAAAUGUUAUCCAGACAAUAGUUAGGAUAAAAAAUGUUAUACCUUUACGGUAGUUCAGUUAAGUUAUUUCUAAUUUAGAAGUGGAAUGUGCUAACAAAUUGCAUUUAAAGCUUGCUCUUUGAGAAGGGGGAUGAGAUUCAGGUCAUGCAGGAAAUGGUUGCAGGUGCAAAGAGUGGCAUAACAAAUGAUUCUCCUAUAGUCGGUAUUAAGUUCUAGAAUCUGGCUCCAGAACAUGAACAACUUCAACUUCAGAGGGUUGUUGAUGAAGGAAGUAGUAGGUCUUUAUUCUCUCCCCGCCUGGGUAUCUGAAAAAUGAAAAUGAUGUUGACUCUCAGAAAAUCAGACUGAACGGAGUGGUAUUGAUGGACUCAUUGGGUUCCCUGGAUUAAGACUUGGUAGCAAUCAAAAGAGCUUCGGUGAUAUCUUCACAGAAAUUCUUGGUUCCGGCCUUCCGUAGUGUACGGGUUCACUAAAUGGUGCUUACAACUCCACGAACCAGAAGUGUUAUGCACAUGGAAACUCCGACAGGGCAUUCCAAAAAUUCCUGUGUUACCCGAGAUCUAUGUUUGGUAAAACCCCUGUGCUUUACAUGUCUUCGUGCAAGCACAUGCUGAGAUAGGAGUGACCAGCUUUGCUGUGGAUUUUCUUAUAGGAGCUGUCUCAGCUACCUUCUCAAAUACUGUUUCUGCUGUAAUUGAUUUCGGCUGUACUAUUUUGUGAUUUGAUUAGUAACGGGUUUUACUUAAAACCUAUACCAGGUCUUAAACGCAUUCAAGGAUUACUUUAAGAUGCUCUUUAGUUCCAAUAAGGACCGAGGUGUUUAAAUAGUUCACUGGUAACUUCGCAUAUGACGGUGACGCUGGUGUGUUUUUACUACAUUUUACUCACCUAGCCCACUUAUUAUUUUUAUGAUGUGUACUGCCUUUGUCUUCCAUCUGUAUUGCCUUUGCCUUAAACAAUUACAGGUCCCC